rnacentral:rRNA from 1 species
UACAGAGGUCUCAAGCGUUGUUCGGAUUCAUUGGGCGUAAAGGGUGUGUAGGUGGCGCCGUAAGUCGGGUGUGAAAUCUUGGAGCUUAACUCCGAAACUGCAUUCGAUACUGCCGUGCUUGAGGACUGGAGAGGAGACUGGAAUUUACGGUGUAGCGGUGAAAUGCGUAGAUAUCGUAAGGAAGACCAGUGGCGAAGGCGGGUCUCUGGACAGUUCCUGACGCUGAGACACGAAGGCCAGGGGAGCAAACAGG